GUGCCAGCCGCCGCGGUAAUACGGAGGGUGCAAGCGUUGUCCGGAAUCACUGGGCGUAAAGGGUGCGCAGGCGGGGCAGCAAGUCGGAGGUGAAAGCCCAUGGCUCAACCAUGGAAGCGCCUUCGAUACUGCUGCUCUUGAGUCCCGGAGAGGCUGUCGGAAUUCGUGGUGUAGCGGUGAAAUACGUAGAUAUCACGAGGAACACCAGAGGCGAAAGCGGACAGCUGGACGGGUACUGACGCUCAGGCACGAAAGCGUGGGGAGCAAACAGGAUUAGAUACCCCAGUAGUCC
rnacentral:rRNA from 1 species